rnacentral:rRNA from 1 species
UACGUAGGGUGCGAGCGUUAAUCGGAAUUACUGGGCGUAAAGCGUGCGCAGGCGGUUAUUUAAGUCAGGUGUGAAAGCCCUGGGCUUAACCUAGGAAUUGCGCUUGAGACUGGAUAGCUUGGAGUGCGGCAGAGGGAGGUGGAAUUCCACGUGUAGCAGUGAAAUGCGUAGAGAUGUGGAGGAACACCGAUGGCGAGGGCAGCCUCCUGGGCCAGCACUGACGCUCAUGCACGAAAGCGUGGGGAGCAAACAGG